GAUCCUGGCUCAGAUUGAACGCUGGCGGCAUGCCUUACACAUGCAAGUCGAACGGCAGCACGGGAGCAAUCCUGGUGGCGAGUGGCGAACGGGUGAGUAAUAUAUCGGAACGUGCCCAGUCGUGGGGGAUAACGUAGCGAAAGCUACGCUAAUACCGCAUACGAUCUAUGGAUGAAAGCAGGGGAUCGCAAGACCUUGCGCUAUACGAGCGGCCGAUGUCAGAUUAGCUAGUUGGUAGGGUAAAGGCCUACCAAGGCGACGAUCUGUAGCGGGUCUGAGAGGAUGAUCCGCCACACUGGAACUGAGACACGGUCCAGACUCCUACGGGAGGCAGCAGUGGGGAAUAUUGCACAAUGGGCGAAAGCCUGAUGCAGCAACGCCGCGUGAGGGAUGAAGGCCUUCGGGUUGUAAACCUCUUUUAGCAGGGAAGAAGCGAAAGUGACGGUACCUGCAGAAAAAGCACCGGCUAACUACGUG
rnacentral:rRNA from 1 species